GACAUUUUCAUUUCCAAAAUUCGGAGGGAGGAGCAAAAUCUACUAGCAGUUCCUAUAGUGUGGGUAUGUGAAAAAGUCAUAUUUGUUUAGCAUCAAUCUGAGUGGGUGAGAACCGUUGUGGAAAGGCUCUCCUGCCCUUCUGCUCUGAGCUCUGUGUUUCCUUCUGCUGCCCUUUACUUGCCCUCUCAGGGCCCUUCCCCCUGUCCCCCACAUUAGUUCUUCUUCCUUCAUAGAAGCUCAGAAGGAGGAAGAACAGUACCAGGGCCCUGCCCCUCCUACCAUCUCCCUGGGGGCCAGGUGGAGGGUUGACAGCUCCCUGUGUCGUCUCAUUUUGAGUAACAAGAGAGGACCAGCAUGGCCCCAGAAAUCCUAUUGCUGCUGCUGCUGUCACUAGGAAACUCAGGCAAGCCAGGGAGGACUUGGGCUGAGCUCCAGUACCAGGAGUUGAGACCGAGGUCUCCAGACUACAGGAGACCAGAACAGGCUGAGGAAGAGUACAGACGACUGGAAGGGGAGACGUUCAGUGUGAACUGCUCCUACGAGUCCCAGGAGCAUGAACAUAGAUGGAUGUCUUGGUGUAAAAAGCAAGAGAAUGGAGACGAGUGUGGCAUACCACGCUUAGAAACAAGCUCCAACUUUUCCGUGGCAGGCAAUGAAUAUUUGUCCGCUUAUGAUAAUAAUAGUGGCAUUAUCACCAUCACUAUCACAAAGUUCAGUCUCAGAGUAAAGGAUUCAGGUGACUAUGAGUGUGUGAUGCCUGAAGAACCUGAUAAGAGGAAAGAAGUCUUCAGGAGAUUCCACCUAGUGGUGUCCCCAGUUCAAACACAGAGCUCCACAAAAGGGAUACAAACUACCGCAGGGGUCACUUCCAACAAUCAGGCCGCCAACAACAGUUCCUCAGAGAAGAAAUUCAUCAUUUUGGGUGUGGUCCUUUCUUGUCUGCUCCUAUUGGUGCUUCUUGUUGUAGGCAUCAUUUGUACCAGGAGGAUCUACCAGAAAGCCGGGAAAGGUGAUGACUCUGAGACCCAGGGAGAGAAGUCAAAGGGCUCUGCAAUGAAGAUGGAGAGUGAUGAGGAUGCUGAAGACAUCCAUUAUGCCAUAGUGUCCAACAGAAGCCCCAGAGAGCUGAUCAAUACCAAAACUCAUACUCCUAUUGAGUCUGUGGAAUACGCUACCAUAACAAGGAAUUGAUGUCAGCUGCCCAAAUCAAAUGCUCCUCAGAAUCCAAUGUGGAGGGACUAGGAGAGUUCACUAUCAGCAAUGUUGGUGAAUCAUGUCUCCUUCAGCAAAGAAGUGGUAGAACAAAAAUGUAUGGAAAUGAGAAAUAUGUUAUUAGACAAGGACCAUAUAUAGAUUUGUUUUGCUUAGCUAUAUUUCUUUGUUGGGAGGGAGGGUUCUAUAGGAUUUUUUUGAGGGGGGUAGUAAGAAAUGGUAGCAUUGUAAAAAAGCCCAGCAUGAAUAAAACACCUUUUUUAUGUAUUAAACA
ensembl:lncRNA